rnacentral:misc_RNA from 1 species
GCGUCACCAUCAUGCCCAAGGA